AUUGAACGCUGGCGGCAGGCCUAACACAUGCAAGUCGAGCGGAUGAAGGGAGCUUGCUCCUGGAUUCAGCGGCGGACGGGUGAGUAAUGCCUAUGAAUCUGCCUGGUAGUGGGGGAUAACGUCCUGAAACGGGCGCUAAUACCGCAUACUUCCUGAGGGAGAAAGUUGGGGAUCUUCGGACCUCACGCUAUCAGAUGAGCCUAGGUCGGAUUAGCUAGUUGGUGGGGUAAAGGCCUACCAAGGCGACGAUCCGUAACUGGUCUGAGAGGAUGAUCAGUCACACUGGAACUGAGACACGGUCCAGACUCCUACGGGAGGCAGCAGUGGGGAAUAUUGGACAAUGGGCGAAAGCCUGAUCCAGCCAUGCCGCGUGUGUGAAGAAGGUCUUCGGAUUGUAAAGCACUUUAAGUUGGGAGGAAGGGCAGUAAGUUAAUACCUUGCUGUUUUGACGUUACCAACAGAAUAAGCACCGGCUAACUUCGUG
rnacentral:rRNA from 1 species